CUUGAGCAACGGAGAAAAAAUGUCUGGCUCCGGCGCCUUCUCUUCUACUCCGUCUUCUCCAACGUCGUUCGAUCGUACCGCCGGCGUGCUAACUAGUGUUCCCUCGGGAAAUUCCUGCAGAGAACCACUUCGCUUCAUCUACUACAUCUCCGAUGCCUCUCGAAGCUUCCGUUUUUUACUUCUCAUAUUUGCGACUCGUAAUUUUCGGCUAAAUUUUAAUGGGUUUCCUAGAAUGCGUUCGAUUUCUUGUGUUCUUGGUUCUGGGUUAUGAUGAUCGAUCACGAUCCAGAUGAUUUUGAUUUUCAAUUUCGUUUUUGUCUUUGGUCGAAAAAUUGUUAUCAGGGCCGUGACUGCUUGUUAUAAUCGAGAGCAUUUUGGGUUAGUUAGCUUUUUCUCUCUUUGACAGUGAGAAUCUUCAUCUGUGUUUCUUUUCGUUGUACAUUUUAUAAAUCACAAAUCUGAAUUGUUAGGUGAUCGAGAAGUUUCCGCACAUCAAGCAUUACAGACAUUUCAAAGUUCCUUUGGGUUUGGAUGUCAGAGAUCUUGUCAAAAGCCAGUUAGCUGUUUCUCUCUUCGACAAUAAGAAUCUUCAUCUGUGUUUCAUUCCGUUGUACAUUUUAUCUCCUCUACUGUCGUUUCCUGGUUCUGCAUACCGGCAGCAACUUGUUGUUGUCUUUUUUCCAUGGGCGGCCAAUCGAGGGAACCGGGUUGCAAUUACCUGGUGUCUUGGAUGAAUUGUUCUCCUGUGCUGGCUCUCUAGUCCACAUUGUACAUAAGAAGUUAUCUCUCUUUACCUCUGAGCCCUACUGCUGUUCUUGUUGAAAAUUGAUUGGUACUGUCUUUCUUUAUUCACUCUGUUAAUGUAACAAUCCCUUUUUCUGUGUUUAUUCAUGUAUAAAAGUAGUCAGCUUCUGCUUGAAACUAUGAGAAUCUCCAGACCACAAAUCCCACUGAAAUCAUCCCACUUAAGGUAAGGAGGCUAAUGGCGUGUGUGGAGCAGAGAAGGACCUAGGAGUUGGGAAGGGUGCUCUUAUGUGUAUGAAGUGUCAGUCUACCAUCCUAGCACCUUGAAAGUUGAGGUUUGCUGUGCAAAUGAUCCUUGCGCUCGGGGGCUUUCAGCUGAUGGUAGCAAAACUUUGCUGGUGAAUCUUGAUUCUGAUGAUCUUAGGCAUGAAGGAUGGGAUAGGUUAGCUGAGGAAAAACCAUGCUUGAAUUCGUUUUCAGAUGUAAGUAUGUAUUAGCUCCAUGUGAGGGAUUUCAGGUAAUUCCACUAUAUUUCUGCUUAUAAUUUUCUUGGUGUGUUAUGCCUAAUCAAAUUCUGUGUUUUCGACUAUUGAUUUCUUUCUAUGGGGCAAGUAUUUCUAGUCAUAAAUCUGCCAAACCUACCAUUUGGUGCUUUCUUUCUUAUCUGCAUCUUGUUGUCUCUUUCUUUGAUGGCCAAAGCAUGAAUUUCUUGACUGAGAACACAAAAAAGGCCUCGCCUUUUAUCCCCUGUAAUAUUUAUAUGUUGUUGCCCAGGGUUCGGUUUCUCUAUCGGUCUUGGGCAUUUUUAAUUUUGAAACAAGUGGGAAAACUUUUCUAAGUGACAUUUAAAGGCGUCCAUGUUUUGGUUUUGCUUGUGCCAGAUUCCCUUGUCCUAUUUCUUGUUUUUCAGUGCCAAUGAUUGUUCCGUAGAUCCUGAAGUUCAUGGUGGAUACCUGGCAUUUGCUUUGAUGGUACAAAUGUCAAUGUUCUUGUGCACCAUUUGAUACUUAUGAUUCUACAGUCACCGGUCUGCUAGAAAAUUCAGCGCCAGAUUCAGCUGAGGCACAAGCUCAGAUUACAGAAGUUCAAAAUGAUGAUGGGCUAUAACUGGGGUUAGUUUCUUUGUAAGCAUUCGCCUUCACUGAAAGCUUCUUCUUUUGUGCUCUGGGGAGUACAUAAUGGAAGCUACGCGACUCGCGAGUAACCCAAGUGGUGCAUGCCGUACACUGGAAUUUAGACGAAUUGUUCAGGUAAACAUUUUUCCAAUGUGCUCUUCCAGGGGAAAGAAAAACGAUACUAGUUGUAAGGAGUGAGGACCGAUAUUGGGCUUUACUUUGGGCCAUGCUUUGGACCGAUAUUGGGCUUUACUUUCGACUUCUUGUAAGGAGUGAGGACCGAAUGGAUUACAUAAAAAUAUUAACGAACUGUUUAUAAAUAGUUCGAUGUUUUUU